AUGUGAGUCAUUGUGACAUCACCAGCCAGAAUUGCUGGGAUUCAGUGAGAUGACUCACAGUAAGAGAAAUCAUGCCACCCUCAAAGCCUCAUCCACCUGUCGUGGGCAAAGUGACUCAUCACAGCAUUGAAUUAUACUGGGAUCUGGAAAAGAAAGCCAAACGCCAAGGACCUCAAGAGCAGUGGUUCAGGUUCUCGAUUGAAGAAGAAGACCCCAAAAUGCACACUUAUGGUAUCAUUUAUACGUAGGUGCAGUGUUGAAUUGCUUGCCACUUUGCCUUACUUCCUGAUUAGCUGGAAUGAUUUCUGUUGUCUCUAAAAAGCCACUGCUUGUUUCAAAUUAAAGAAUGAGUCAGCAUCAUUUGUAUUCAUGCUCUUUUAUGAAUUACAAUUUUUGGAAAAUAGGCAUUAGCAGUAACUUUGAAAUUAAACCUCUGUACCUUUGAGAGCUUCUUUGACUUCUGAAAUAUUUUAAUGAUAUGUAUUUAAAAUCCAGAAUGUAGAGACAGACUCAAACAAUAGCUUGAUGCAAUUAGGUGAGCUUCCCAUCAGGCUGUUGUGUUCACUGACGUGGAAUGGCCCCGCAUGGUCUACCCUGGCUAGCUUCUCUGAUCUCAUGUCAUACCAUUGUCCCCUUGUCAACUCUCUUAUACCACGCUGGCUGCCUCUCAGCCUGGACAGGCCAAGCUGGUUCCCAUCGCAGGAUCUUGCUCGUUGCUGUGGUCUUGAAUACAUUUCCUUCUGUUUUUAUACAGCUGGUUCCUUCACACCAUGCCAAUCUCAGAUGAAACAUCCCCCCGCCC
rnacentral:lncRNA from 10 species